rnacentral:rRNA from 1 species
UACGGAAGGCAGCAGUGGGGAAUAUUGCACAAUGGGCGCAAGCCUGAUGCAGCCAUGCCGCGUGUAUGAAAAAGGCCUUCGGGUUGUAAAGUACUUUCAGUCGUGAGGAAGGUGUUAAGGUUAAUAACCUUAGCAAUUGACGUUAGCGACAGAAGAAGCACCGGCUAACUCCGUGCCAGCAGCCGCGGUAAUACGGAGGGUGCGAGCGUUAAUCGGAAUUACUGGGCGUAAAGGGCACGCAGGCGGCUAAUUAAGUUGGAUGUGAAAUCCCCGGGCUUAACCUGGGAAUGGCAUUCAAGACUGGUUAGCUAGAGUCUUGUAGAGGGGGUAGAAUUCCAUGUGUAGCGGUGAAAUGCGUAGAGAUGUGGAGGAAUACCGGGUGGCGAAGGCGGCCCCUGGGACAAAGGACUGACGCUCAUGUGCGAAAGCGUGGGGAGCAAACGAGGAUUAGAUACC